rnacentral:rRNA from 1 species
UACAGAGGUGGCAAGCGUUGCUCGGUAUCACUGGGCUUAAAGGGCGCGUAGGCGGCGCGGUACGGUUCGGGUGAAAUCCCUCGGCUCAACCGAGGAACUGCCCGGGCUACGGCCGCGCUUGACAGCAUCAGGGGAAGGUGGAACUCCAGGUGGAGCGGUGAAAUGUGUAGAUAUCUGGAGGAACGCCGGUGGCGAAAGCGACCUUCUGGGGUGCUUGUGACGCUGAGGCGCGAAAGCUAGGGGAGCGAACGGG